rnacentral:rRNA from 1 species
UACGAAGGGGGCUAGCGUUGCUCGGAAUCACUGGGCGUAAAGCGCACGUAGGCGGAUUGUUAAGUCAGGGGUGAAAUCCUGGAGCUCAACUCCAGAACUGCCUUUGAUACUGGCGAUCUCGAGUCCGGGAGAGGUGAGUGGAACUGCGAGUGUAGAGGUGAAAUUCGUAGAUAUUCGCAAGAACACCAGUGGCGAAAGCGACUUCCUGGACCAAUACUGACGCUCAUGUGCGAAAGCGUGGGGAGCAAACAGG